rnacentral:rRNA from 1 species
AUACGUAGGGUGCGAGCGUUGUCCGGAAUUACUGGGCGUAAAGAGCUCGUAGGUGGUUUGUCGCGUCGUCUGUGAAAUUCCGGGGCUUAACUCCGGGCGUGCAGGCGAUACGGGCAUAACUUGAGUACUGUAGGGGAGACUGGAAUUCCUGGUGUAGCGGUGAAAUGCGCAGAUAUCAGGAGGAACACCGGUGGCGAAGGCGGGUCUCUGGGCAGUAACUGACGCUGAGGAGCGAAAGUAUGGGUAGCGAACAGGAUUAGAUACCCUGGUAGUCCAUGCCGUAAACGGUGGGCGCUAGGUGUAGGGGUCUUCCACGACUUCUGUGCCGUAGCUAACGCAUUAAGCGCCCCGCCUGGGGAGUACGGCCGCAAGGCUAAAACUCAAAGGAAUUGACGGGG